AUUUUUUUUUUUUUUUUUGGAAUUUGAUACUUUUCAGGCUUGUAUCACAGACAUGAAGAUUAAACUUUUUACCUUUACACUUCUCAUAAUUUACCAACAACCAACUCCAUUUCCUUAGGACAGGAAUCAUUAAAAAGAUUGCACACAGAGUGAACACAAGGACCUUAAUGCAGAUCAUGUAUAAAGAAGCAUGAUACCCAAAUGAUCUACAAUGAUAACAUAAUUAGAAAGCUAGUAUGCUGGUCUAACAAUAUAAUAACAUAAUUAGAGGCUAAGAAAACCUGCCUAAUUGAGAAUUUACCAGUGUAAGUAACAGAUCAAAGCAUCAAAUUAUAUUCAAAAUCAGACAAGAAUCCAAGAUGAAAAUUGACACGAAAUGUAAACAUAAUAAGAUCUUGAAUCACAUGAAAUCUUCAAAAUUGAGAAAGAAGGGAAAAAAACAAUAAAUAGAGAUAAAAUGUAAGAAGCGCAUUAACCUCGAGUAUAAUCAACAUUACGCACACAGAAUUUGAAUUUGAAGCAGCUUAUAGCAGAAUAAGAUAGUAAGUAAAAGUUGAUAACUACCAACCCAUAAAAAAAAAAAUUCAUAGUUAACAAUAAUACAAAAUAGGACUGAAUUUAAUAAAAAGCUAAAAAGAAUCUCUUUGUCAAAAUCCAUCACUUUUCCAGAAGAAGAAGAAGAUAAAAAGGGAAGUGAGAUGCAGAAAGUUCAAGUCUAUGCUUCUGAAGAACAAAAACCCAGAUCAAAUUUUAAAAGAACUAACCAACAAAAGCAACAAGGGAACACUUUCCAAAAUUAGAAUUUAAAGCACUUAAGAAGAAGCGGCAGCAGCAGCAAAGAAGAAGGAAGUGGCAAAGAAUCAGCAAAACAGUCAAAG
rnacentral:misc_RNA from 1 species